GGAUGGGUCGUAUAAAGGUUAUUACGGAGAGCUGUUAACUCUUUUAUCUAGGUUCGAGUCCUAGCCCGUCCGCCA
rnacentral:tRNA from 1 species